rnacentral:rRNA from 2 species
AUGCAAGUCGAGCGGGGGUAGCAAUACCCUAGCGGCGGACGGGUGAGUAACACGUGGGUAACCUACCUUACACAGGGGAAUAACAGAUAGAAAUAUCUGCUAAAACCGCAUACGCUCGAUUUUAGGCACUCUUUAGUCGAGGAAAUAUUAAUAGGUGUAAGCUGGGCCCGCGUCUGAUUAGCUAGUUGGUGAGGUAACGGCCCACCAAGGCAACGAUCAGUAGCCGACCUGAGAGGGUGAUCGGCCACAUUGGGACUGAGACACGGCCCAAACUCCUACGGGAGGCAGCAGUGGGGAAUAUUGCGCAAUGGGGGAAACCCUGACGCAGCAACGCCGCGUGAAGGAAGAAGGCUUUCGGGUUGUAAACUUCUAUCGACGAGGACGAGACAAGACGGUACUCGGGUAAGAAGCCCCGGCUAACUACGUGCCAGCAGCCGCGGUAAUACGUAGGGGGCAAGCGUUAUCCGGAAUCACUGGGCGUAAAGGGUGAGUAGGCGGUUAAAUAAGUCAUAUGUGAAAUCCCCGGGCUCAACCCGGGAAUGGCAUAAGAAACUGAUUGACUAGAGUGCAGGAGAGGUAAGCGGAAUUCCUAGUGUAGCGGUGAAAUGCGUAGAUAUUAGGAAGAACACCAGUGGCGAAGGCGGCUUACUGGACUGAAACUGACGCUGAUACACGAAAGCGUGGGGAGCGAACAGGAUUAGAUACCCUGGUAGUCCACGCUGUAAACGAUGAAUGCUAGGUGUCGGGGCGAGA